GUUUUCCCACGAGAUUCUAUUCGACGCCGCCGGAAUCAGACGUGCCGCAUCGUCGGCGCCCUCGCCGCCGGCGACGCGGUUGUACAGCGGACCCGGGGUCCUUGAACUGAAGUCCUCUCUGGUGGUGGUGGUGGUGGUGGUGGUGGUGGAGAGGCGUCUCCCUCGUCCUCCUGCUGCCGGCCCUCUGCUGCAGGAGCUGGACUGGCGUGGAGUGGAGAUCCAUCCACCCCGCACCUGCCACGAUCUCUUCCUUCUCGUGUCGUUGGCCGCGGAUUUGCGUGCUGUGCUGUGGCGCCGCCCUGAAAUCGAAUCCAUGGUUGGGUUCGGCUUGGUUCGUCUUCUUCAGCGCUCAGGAUCAGUCUAGCCGGCGCGCGGGCGCCGUUUGGUUGUCGGAAGACAUUUUGGAGCUCAAGUGAACCCCCAUGCCCCAGGUGAGGUCCGGCCCCGAUGGAGCCGGCGGGGAAUACAUCAAGUGGAUGUGCGGCGCCGGCGGCCGAGCGGGCGGCGCCAUGGCCAACCUCCAGCGCGGCGUCGGCUCCCUUGUCCGGGACAUCGGCGACCCCUGCCUCAACCCCUCCCCAGGGAACAGAAUGCUCAAACCAGAAAAAUGGCAGACAUGUUUUGACAGCGACGGAAGGGUUAUAUGUUUCCGGAAAGCCCUUAAAUUCAUUGUCUUAGGGGGCGUGGAUCCUUCUAUUCGAGCGGAAGUUUGGGAAUUUCUUCUUGGCUGCUAUGCCUUAAGCAGCACGUCAGAAUAUAGGGGAAAGUUAAGAGCUGCUCGAAGGGAGAGGUAUCAUUAUUUAGUUAGACAAUGCCAGAGCAUGCAUGCAAGCAUUGGUACAGGUGAGCUUGCCUACGCUAUCGGAUCGAAGCAGAUGGAUGUCAGGACUUUGCCCAAAGAAAUUUGUACUGGAGAAGAAGUCAGCACGAGUCAGCAAACUUCACAUGAAGCACCUUGCAAUGUAGUGGAAAAUUCCAAUUUGAAUUGCGGGUCUGAUGGCACACCUCAGUCUCAGAAACGAAAAGGCUGUAGUAAAUCAGCAGAACCAAUUGGUUUUAAUAUACAUAAUGAUAGCUCUGUAUAUGAUUCUUCCAGUUUUAUGGUACCUUCCACAGCGGUGAAUAGUUGCUUGAGAGAUUUCGGAGAUUAUGUUGACAUUGGUGAACCAAGGUAUGACAGUGAGACCUUCACCAAUUUACCUUCCCUGUCUGGUACAAACUUGUUUGCAAAUGGUGGUGAGAAUAGCAAUGGAGUUGAGGAAAGUCAUUGUAGUUUCUCGGUUCCUGAAGAUAGGUUAAGGCCCCGUGAUGAACGCAUGCACAGCUUCCAAAUCAAUAAUAACAUAGAUCUGAUUAUAGAGUCAAAUUCAUUCUCCAAUGAUUUGUUUCGACCUAGCAACAGUGACUCAGCCAUCUUUCACUCCGAUGCAUACAAGCAGGAUAGAUGGUUAGAUGAUGACUAUAGUAAGGAAAUUAUAGACUCCUUGAGGAUAUCUGAUGCACCAGAAGCAGAUUUAGUUGAUGGAACCAAAUCAAAUGGUUCAAUUGCCGACAAGGAUAGAAUCUCCGAAUGGCUUUGGACACUGCAUCGAAUUGUGGUCGAUGUGGUGAGAACAGAUAGUCACCUUGAUUUCUUUGGAGAAUCAAGGAAUAUGGCUAGAAUGUCUGAUAUACUUGCAGUUUAUGCAUGGGUUGAUCCCUCCACUGGAUACUGUCAAGGUAUGAGUGAUCUGCUGUCACCUUUUGUUGUUAUAUAUGAGGAUGAUGCGGAUGCCUUUUGGUGCUUUGAGAUGCUACUGAGAAGGAUGCGUGAAAAUUUCCAGAUGGAGGGACCAACGGGAGUUAUGAAGCAGUUGCAAGCAUUGUGGAAGAUCAUGGAACUGACAGAUGUUGAAUUAUUUGAACAUUUGUCGGCAAUUGGUGCUGAAAGCCUUCAUUUCGCUUUCCGGAUGCUGCUAGUGCUUUUUCGCCGGGAGCUAUCUUUUGAGGAAUCACUGAUCAUGUGGGAGAUGAUGUGGGCUGCUGAUUUUGAUGAAGAAGCAAUCAGGCGUUUAGAAGAGAACUGUCUAGGACCAUUGCUGGUUGAUCUGAGGACUGAUUUAUCAUGUGAAGUUAAAGAAGUGCCUCGGAUGAACAGUUCCACGAGAAGAAAAUCCAAAACCAGGAAAACCCAUCGUAGGAAUGGUGAAAUCUGUGGAGCUUGCCACCCUGGAACGAGAUCCAGUACAAGAAAUCAUCUUUGUGGUUUGUCAGGUGCUACUAUAUGGGCAAGGCCUCAGCAGAUGCCACAACUGAGUGCAAAUGUGCUGGCAAGGAGUGGAGAUGACGAACUGCCUAUUUUCUGUGUAGCGGCAAUCUUGAUAAUCAAUCGCCACAGGAUAAUUAGAGGGACCCGCUCAAUAGAUGAUGCAAUCAAGGCAAGUUCAGAAACUACUUUCUUUCUUGUCAAUUCAAUCUUUGUGUUUUUGAAAUCAUUGCUUGUAGCUAUUUAUUCAAUUGCAAUGGACAUUCUUCAGAUGUUCAACGACAAUGUGCUAAAAAUCAAUGUAAAAAGAUGCGUACGCUUGGCCAUCAAGCUGAGGAAGAAGUACUUGUACAAGUCAUUGAAAGGAGGCUCGAGUGAUGAUAAAGAAAGUUGAAGGGCCUGCAUUUCCGUUGUAGAAAAAUACUAGGUAUUUCUCCAUCAUGCAUUACUGACUAGGGUUGGUGAAGCGGUAUUGGCCAGAAGUUCAACACAUCUCCAAGAUCCGUUACUCAGCAUUGCAAGGAAACAUGUACAUACUAGUAUACUUGAACACAACAGAUGAAGCUGUUGAAGUAAAGAAGAAGAAAAAAAGAAUUGAUUCCACCGUGCUGCUGUAUUACUGGUGUUGUCAUUGUUUUCGUUGUGCCCAUUUGGCAGGGAUAAUGCACGUGAUGAUUGUAUUUAUCGAUCUGGAGGUUUGAGUGGGGUGUGCCCUGUGCAGGGCAUGCAAAUCACACGGAAGAACGGAACAGAAAAAGAAAGGGUUGAAGUGUACAAAGUGUGAACCGGGCAAUCCAUUCUUUGGAGCAAAACUAGUUUAAGCGGUUUCACGUCGUUAUGAAUGCAAAUUAUUUCAUAUUAUUA